UAGAUGCACUAUUGUAAAGUGGCUGUUCCACUGGAUGUCAUAAGGUGAAAGCACCAAUUUGUAAGUCGCUCUGGAUAAGAGCGUCUGCUAAAUGACUUAAAUGUAAUGUAAAUGUACUCCCAGGGUCCUUAGCUUAGUAAUGAGCUUUGAAGACACUAUCGUGUUGAACGCUAAGCUGUAGUCCGUGAACAGCAUUCUCACAUAGGUGUUCCUUUUGUCUAGGUGGGAAAUGGCAGUGUGAAGUGCGAUUGAGAUUGCAGCAUCUGUGGAUCUGUAGGGGUGGUAUGGGAGUGAGUCUAGGGUUUCCGUGAUGAUCGUGUUGAUGUGAGCCAUGACCAGCCUUUCAAAGCACUUCAUGGCUACCGUCAUGAGUGCUACAGAGCGGUAGACAUUUAGGCAGGUUAACUUCCCUUUCCUGGUCACAUGGACUAUGGUGCGCUGCUUGAAACAUGUAGGUAUUACAGACUCAGUCAGGGAGAAGUUGGAAAUGUCAGUGAAGACACUUGCCAGUUGGUCCACACAUGCUCUGAGUACACAUCCUGGUUAUCCGUCUGGCCCCGCAGCCUUGAGUGUUGACCUGUUUAGAGGUCUUGCUCACAUCUGCUACGGGGAGAGUGAUCACACAGUCGUCCUGAACAGCUGGUACUUUCAUGGAUACUUCAGUGUUGCUUACCUUGAAGCGAGCAUAAAACUCAUUUAGUCCGUCUGGUAGGCUCGCGUCACUUUUAAAGAGAUGUUCAAAAAGUGUUGGGAAAAUGAGUCUGUUUAUGAAAUAGAGUAGGUUGCCUUGUGAACUGAGUCUGUCCUUCUCCAUAGUGACUACAUUUUAGAUUGAACACCUUGCUGAGCCCAAGACCAGAGAGGAGUUAAAACAAAAUACUCUUGCCAGCUGACAUUGGAUCCCAAUACAGCACACACUAGCCUGUGUCUGUUCGAUGGAGAACGGUAAUGUUGCCAGGAGAGAUUAGGCCCAGUCCUGUCCGAACCAUCCAGACGGAUAUCCCUCCUACCAACAGGUGCUGUGUAGAGACUGUCUCUCUGGAACUUGCUACUGGAAGGUAGAGUGGAGCGGGGAAGGGGUUCAUGUAGCUGUCUCGUAUAUAAACGGAUCAGCACAAAAGAAGAUAGUCAUGAGUGUGUGCUUUGGGAGGUAAUGAUCGAUCCUGGAGGUUAUACAGCUCUUCAUUCAGCCGCUGUUUCAUCCACAGUAAUAACAGGACUGAUAUCCCUGUCCCCUGCUCCUCCAGAAUAGGGGUGUACCUGGACCACGUGGCAGGAACACUGUCCUUCUACAGCAUCUCUGACACAAUGACCCUCCUCCACAGAGUCCAGACCACAUUCACUAAGUCCUUCUAUCCUGGAUUCUUUGUUUGUGUUGGAACCUCUGUGGAGAUACUGACACCUACUCAGUGAUAAAGCUGUCGUCUGCUGGUACCAUUGUUGUGAGCUUUAGAGAUUGAUUUGUGAUUGCAGAUAUCAUAGAGUACAGUACUCAUAGAAAAAGAGGUGCUAUAUAGAACCUAAAAGGUUUCUUCGGCUGUCCCCAUAGGAGAACCCUUUGAAGAACCUUUCCACAGAGGUUUCCACAACUCAAAAGGCUCCUACCUGGAACCAAAAAGGGUUCUCCUAUGGGGACACCCGAAUAACCCUUUUGGAACCCUUUUUUUUCCUAAGAGUGCAUAAUAAAUGUACUUCAUUUGCAUAUACAGAGGUGUAAUUAAAACCGAGUGUAACAGACUGAGCCUUUGGUUCUCGAAUGAACGUGAACGCGUAAUGAUGAGACACGUGUACACGUCAAUGGUGGAAGUUUGAUUGACAGAUGAAAGGGACCAAUCAUCAUCGAGCUUAGUUGAGUCAGUCCGGGAGCGGAACACCGCUGAACAGUUCAAGGGGAGAAGUCAUUUGUAGUUGCUCAUUAAACUAUUUUGACUUAGUUGUUGCGCUAUAUUUUGCACUAUAACUGAAAAGUGUGUAUUUGGAAAACUUGGUAUGGAAGAUAGUGAGGCUCGUGCACCACAUACACCUAUAGACAAUUUUGGUCUCUGUGGUUUAUGUUUGCUGAAUAAUAUUCACAAUGUUACUUGUACCACAUGCAACAACUUAAUCAAAAGUAAAAUAAAUUGUACUUGCAAGGAUACACUACCGCUUGUUUUUCAUUUAGGAUCAUCAUCCCAGUGUUUUCAAUGAGGACAUACAGCAGUUGUGAAUCAAAUGAGCUUUUAUUAAAGUAUUAGUGGUUAGGGAAUGAGUCAUUAUAUGGUACAGAUUUCAUAUGCAUUAUUUAACCAACAUGAAAAAGAGAUGGGGGGGGGGGAUUAAACAUAGACUUUGAUUUAAAAUGUCUCUUAUUAAAAGCCGGAAAGGCACUGUUUAAAAAUAAUCAUAGUUGCUGAAUGUUAUUUAAGCUUUGUGUACAAAGUAAGUAUAAAAUGUCAUUCAUGGCUGUUUGUUGCUUAAUGUAAGUAUUUUCACAGAGGGUUUGGAGACAGCGGAAGCAAAUGAAGGUUCACUGGUUUUGCAAUAAAGGCAGUUGCACUGCUAUGGCAGUGAUUGACAUUAUAUACACUUACAUACACGGAAAUGAAUGGUAGGAGAAAAACAGGAUUAUUCAGAUCUGGGUUUGGAAACUGGGCCGUGUUCAUUAAGCACCAAGCGAAAGAAAAUGGACUUUUCAGGUAGGGACUACCUUGUCCAAUAAGAAACGUUCAUUUCCCUGUUCCGUUUUAAAAUGUUUUCUGUUCUAUGCCACAAUGAACAAGACCCAGGACAUCAAUGAUACUGGAGUACUGUCUCCCCUUUGUUACAGUUUGGAGGAAACGUAUGUUUCACCUCGCCUUCGAUCAAUUAAUCCAACAAUUUAUCUGUUUAGUUUGAAAUGUACGUUUUUAAAGUAAAAUAGAGAACUCGUCUGUAUGAGAUCAUUAACAACGGUGAUGGUGCAUUUAUGUGCUGUUGGAGUAACCAGUGACUGUGAGUCUGUGAGCAUGCACACAUUAGGUCAGGAUUAGAUUGAACCCCAGCCUUAUAUUAUCUCUUCACAAAACAAUUGAAUGUGUCAAUAAAACUAAAAAAGGGUUGAAUUGGACAUUAAAAACACUGAUUCUAAACGCAACAAGAGAAUCAAAGCACAGUUGACUUGCAUCAGCCAGGUGAAAAAUGUUAGGGAAAACAAGUGCCUGGUAUCAGCCCAUUGGGAUUUAAGGGUUGCUCCUACAUCAGUGAAAAAGUACUAGUUGAUGGGCGGCUUUCGUAAGGAGAUGCUGGUGUCAGCACUGCUGCUCUGUAAAUGUCCCUAGGUUUAAUACCAUACAUUGCCACUAGGUGGUGGACUUCAUCAAAACACUUUUAAAGAGAGUAGACGUUCAAAAAGUGUUGGGAAAAUGAGUCUGUAAGUGGCUGGUUAGUCUACCGUCAACUCAACACAUAAGACACUUUGAUAAAACAUUGAUAAAACAAAUGAUUGCUAUUGUACAGGGUUUAUAUAGCACACCAGUGGCAGGAUUUACAUUUUUCCACCAGGAUUGUGAAGAAAUCGUAUAAAAUUGCUCCUUAUCUUUGUUGUCACGUAAAAAAAAAAACAGAGCUUUUAAUGACUUGAGAUUUCACCAGAAUGUCCUUUCUUAUCUAAAACUCAGGCAGUGAAUGAAUACAUGUGUGCGUAGUCUACCUACAGCACGAGUGACUUUCCAUAAACGUCUCACACCCUUUUUGUGUUUCUUGCAGAUGUCAGGGUCCUUCAUUUGAGCCAGACCCCUUUGUUAGACUCUUUCUUCACAAACAACAAAAAGGUGACGGUAUAAGAUGCCAUCUUUAUCAAGGGGGGUAAUAAUAUUAAGAAUGAAGUGAUACUUUCAUCGUAUAGGGGGCCUAAAUCAAGUCUUCAAAAUACAUAUUAAUAAAAUAUCCAAAAGCACUACAUAAUCAUUCAUUA